GGCGUCCCAGGCGGGGCGCCGCGGGACCGCCCUCGUGUCUGUGGCGGUGGGAUCCCGCGGCCGUGUUUUCCUGGUGGCCCGGCCAUGCCUGAGGUUUCUCCCUCAGCCGCCCCUCUGCGGGCUCCCAGACGGAAUGAAGUUGAUAAUAGUGAGACCUUGUUGGUACAAGACUAUGUAACAUAACCUGCGCUUCUCAACAAAGAAUUGCUUUUCUGACUUCUGCACUCAACUACUCAACAUGAAGGCAAUAAGAAUGAAGACCUCUAUGUAUAAUAAUUGACUUCCACUUAAUAAAUAAGGUUACUUGGUACACUGGUCGACAAAACCUUGAAAUGUUGAUGUUUAAGGGCUGUUGAUUGCUGGCAGCAAAGAAGUCCAACUGUGCUGGUACCCGAGAUAGCGUCUCCACAUUUUCUUCCAGGAUCAUCACCUUUGUUCUAAAUAGCUCCCACAUAGUGUGAACAGAAGUCAUAUGUUUUAGAUUUUCUGCCUUGGCACCCAGGAAACCAGUAUGAUUGAGUAAACAUAUUAAACUUCCUCUGCAUUUCCAGCCUGAACAGAUGUUGAGUACAAGCUGAUCCACCUACGUUCAACCUGAGAGAGUCCACAUCCACAGACUGUUUCAUUUCCCUUUUUCAAUUUACAUAGAAGCAUAGAUUCUUGCUGGCAUAUACAAAUGCGCCAUUUAAGGCAAUCAAAAAUGGUUCCACAUCUCAUCUGAUUUCCACAAUUGUUGCUGUAACGAUGGACUACUGAGGAGAGAGACAAUUUCUCUGGCACAUCUUCCCACAUUUUAGCAACAUGUUCAUGGAGAGCCAAUAUUCAGUAAUUACAGCCCAAUUCCUCACAAUUUCACAAUUCGCUAACAAUAUGCAUUUUCACAAUGUAAAGCUGAUUUUCCUUUAACCAAAUCAAACAUGAAAAGAUAGCUGCAUGCAAUGGGCAAUCUAGAUCAUUAGAAGAUUGAUGUAAAAUUAGAGGACACUGAGACUGGAAUAGAUUGCAAACUUCAGGGAGCUCAGAAAACUUGUAAACUCUACAUUUUGAGGAAAUAUGUUGUCGAUGCUUUUGCAACUCUAUGCAGUAACUUAACAAAUAAAGCCUUAAAGUAACUUA
rnacentral:lncRNA from 1 species